AUGGCUCAGUGGCUCAGAGCACUGGCUUGUCUUCCAAAGUCCUGGGUUCAAUUCCCAGU
rnacentral:tRNA from 1 species